UUCGGUUCCGGUGCCAAGGCAUCGGAUGAAAAGGGAACGCAGUGCAAAGCUGCGGCUGCCCCCGCAACUGUAAGCGGCGAGCGAAGCCCCCGGAAAGCCACUGUCGCGCAUGCGAUGGGAAGGCGGGGCCAAGCAACGACCCGUGAGCCAGGAGACCUGCCGAGGCG
rnacentral:ncRNA from 1 species